rnacentral:misc_RNA from 1 species
UUUCCGUAGGUGAACCUGCGGAAGGAUCAUUACAGAGUUCAUGCCCGAAAGGGUAGACCUCCCACCCUUGUGUAUUAUUACUUUGUUGCUUUGGAGAGCGCAAGCUCGCCAGAAAAUACCAAAACUCUUUUUAUUAAUGUCGUCUGAGUACAAUAUAAUAGUUAAAACUUUCAACAACGGAUCUCUUGGUUCUGGCAUGAUGAAGAACGCAGC